AUGUUCACCGUCCCGGAUCUCCGCCCCGGCAAGCUCGACUCCCUGCUCGCCCUCAGCGACGACCUCGUCAAGUCCAACAUCUUCAUCGAGGGUGUCUCGCACAAGAUCUCCUGGCAGAUCGAGGACCUGGAGCGCGCCGGAGGGGUCGAGCCCGGCACCCUCACCGUCGACGGCGUCCCCGUGGACAGCUAUCUCACCAGGUUCGUGUGGGACGAGGGCAAGUACCCCGUCAACGCCCCGCUCAAGGCGACCGUCACCAGCAUCCAGUCCCAGCCAUUGUUUGAGCAAUUUCAUUUCUGCAUACAUGUGUACUGGGUUUCAGUAGCAUCUACUAUGGUCCAUGCAUUGGUGCAUAGGAAAUAUACCAAUGGUAUUCAAGUUGAUAUUCUUGCUGUCCGUGGCAAAAGUUGGGGCGAUCGAGUAGGAGUAGCUAGCAGUGUUGAUGUGUAG
rnacentral:rRNA from 1 species